rnacentral:rRNA from 1 species
CCUACGGGUGGCAGCAGUGAGGAAUAUUGGUCAAUGGGCGGAAGCCUGAACCAGCCAAGUAGCGUGCAGGAUGACGGUCCUACGGAUUGUAAACUUCUUUUAUCCGGGAAUAACACACGCUACGUGUAGGGCUUUGCGUGUACCGUAUGAAUAAGGACCGGCUAAUUCCGUGCCAGCAGCCGCGGUAAUACGGAGGAUGCGAGCGUUAUCCGGAUUUAUUGGGUUUAAAGGGGGCGAAGGCGGAAGUUCAAGUGUGCGGUAAAAUUGCGAGGCUCAACCCCGUCGUGCCGGUGAAACUGGGUUGCUUGAGUGCGCGGGAAGUAGGCGGAAUUCGUGGUGUAGCGGUGAAAUGCUUAGAUAUGACGAAGAACCCCGAUUGCGAAGGCAGCUUGCCGCAGCGCAACUGACGCUGAUGCUCGAAAGCGCGGGUAUCGAACAGGAUUAGAUACCCCAGUAGUC